AUGAAUCCGUCGUCGCCUUUAUCUUUUAGUCCUUUGAAGAGCCUUGAGAAUGGAAAUCAUGAGAGAUUUUUCCAUGGGGGAAGUUCUUUUUACGAGACGUUUAUUCAGAUUGAUUUCUCGGCACCCCGCGGGGCGGGCAACGGGCGGGGCUUCCAGUGCACCUUCUGCGCAGUGGAGCCGCGGAGGCUCAGCUGGACAGUGGUCGGGUCGUGGGGCUGGAGGGCGGGAGCGGGGGAAGGGAAAAGCAAAAGCGGGGAAAGAAGCCGGAGAGCGGUGGACCAGACAUCUAGACCUGAAAGGCUCGUGCGGAGGCAGAGGCGGGAUCUUCCGGAGGUAAUAUGUUUAAUUCAGGAAUUGCGAAAAGCCUUGCAGCAGCUACAAGAAGAAUUGCAGAAUAAGAGCCAACAGCUUCGUGCCUGGGAGGCUGAAAAAUACAAUGAGAUUCGAACCCAGGAACAAAACAUCCAGCACCUAAACCAUAGUCUGAGUCACAAGGAGCAGUUGCUUCAGGAAUUUCGGGAGCUCCUACGGUAUCGAGAUAACUCAGACAAAACCCUUGAAGCAAAUGAAACGUUGCUUGAGAAACUUCGCCAGCGAAUACAUGAUAAAGCUGUUGCUCUGGAGGUAUGUAUCAUCAUUUCGCCCACUAUGCUAUGGAUUAUUCUAUCUACAUAGGUAUUAUAGAAAUUUGUGUUUACUUAAAUUUGCUGGUUUUGGAUUUGGUUUUCUAUUCUGCCAUCGUGUUAAAUAACAGCGAUCAGGAUCGCUUAUUGAACAGAUGGUAUGUGAGCACUUGGAAAGUGGUGAGCAUUAGAAACCAGAAUUUCUCUAAGAGCAAGGUAGGACAGAUUAAAUAAGUGGAAUGAAGGGUUUUGCAAAGACAGAGAUGUACCAUUCUCCAGGCUGCGGGGAUGUUGAGCCAGCAUGCCUUCCACCACACAUAGGCCUUCCUUCCUGCUCCUUAGCUCUGUU
rnacentral:lncRNA from 1 species